CGACCGGCGCACGGGUGAGUAACGCGUAUGCAACUUACCUAUCAGAGGGGGAUAACCCGGCGAAAGUCGGACUAAUACCGCAUGAAGCAGGGGCCCCGCAUGGGGAUAUUUGCUAAAGAUUCAUCGCUGAUAGAUAGGCAUGCGUUCCAUUAGGCAGUUGGCGGGGUAACGGCCCACCAAACCGACGAUGGAUAGGGGUUCUGAGAGGAAGGUCCCCCACAUUGGUACUGAGACACGGACCAGACUCCUACGGGAGGCAGCAG
rnacentral:rRNA from 1 species